GAAAGAAUAGUUGUACUGGAAACUGAAAAUGCCCUUCUUCAUUUAAAACUUGCAGAGUAUCAAGAGUUGGCUGGAAGAAGCACUAAUGAAGUUUUGCAGCUCUACUCUGCUCACAGACAGCAGCAGACCUUGCAGAGAAGCUCUGUUGUAACACAGCUUCACAGAGCAAUACAGAGGCUUAAGCAAGACCUGAAGAGCCUCCAUUCAUUUGCCCUUGAGCUUUCAAAAGACCUUCAGCAUCAAUGCAAGACUUAUCUUUACCAAGUUUUGACAACGGUCCAAAG
rnacentral:lncRNA from 1 species